GUACUCGCUUCAGCAGCACAUAUACUAAAACUGGAACAAUACAGAGAAGAUUAGCAUGGCCCCUGUGCAAGGAUGAUACGCAAAUUCAUGGUGUUCCAUUUUUUUUU
rnacentral:snRNA from 1 species